GCUACACUUGUAGGUUACUCACUUGGGGCUAAAGUUAUUUUCAAGUAUCUGGAGUGCUGCUUCUGUUUAUUGGCAGCUGAACUGGUAGAGAGAGUUGUCCUUCUUGGAUCACCCAUUGCAACCAAGGAAGGGAAUUGGGAAGCUGCUAGAAAGGAGGAAAAGGAUUUAAUUUUCUCAUGAAUAGUAUCUUCUGGUCUCACGUGUAUGAUGGAAAUAUAGUUUUAUUGAUUACUAUGAGAUACUGGUAUUCUGUAGAUGGUAGUAGAAAGAUUUGUCAAUGCUUAUUCAAGAAAUGACUGGAUGCUUGGAGUUGCUUUCCGCGCUAGGUACACAAAAAUACUAUAUUUCCAACAUACAUGUGAGACCAGAAGAUACUAUGUUUAUGCUUUUUUUCCUACUUUCUACUUACAUCUAAUAUUUCUACCAUUGCUUUCAGCAUAAUUGGCUUUAUUAAUGUGCAGACCUGAGUUGUUGAAGGAUGUGAGAAGGUAUAAUAGACAAGAGCUUGAGGUUUUCUUUGAAUAAUUCAGCAACAUAAAUCACCAAAUAAUGAGGUGUACAAGGGAACAUUGAAGGGUGGGUCUGAGAUUGAUGUGAUUUCCCUUUGCAUGAAGGAGGAGCAUUGGAGAGGAUAUCUUGAGCUCUAUUUUUAGAGAGAGAAUGAAUCUACCGAUGAAGAUACUGAUAUAGAGAUAAAUGGCCCAGACAAGACAAACGAGAUUGUAAAAGUGAGGGUUCUAACAUUUUUAGAAAAUGUAGCUCACCUAGAAGAUGAGGAAGGAUUAUCCAUUAUUUAGCCAAACUAGUUGCUACGGUGAGCUUCCUUCUUUAGCUUUUGAGUCUCUACUUUACUUGUGCCUGUGAUCUCUUUAUUAUGUUAAAAUAAGAGUGCACGCUUGUUUUAAUGUAAUAAUGAGAUGUUCGGUUUAGGAAAAUUUUGGAAGUUACAUGGAAGUUACUAAAACUUCCAUCAACGCUUGGAAGUUACAUGGAAGUUCAAACCAAUCUUUGGCUUUUUUUUUAUGGGUAACAUAGGAAAGGAGGAAUUUUUAAAUUUUUGAUAACACUACUAUUUUACAACUUGCCUAUCUAAUAUCAAUGCAUGAUUUUGAAUGGAAAAAGCAAAAGGAAGAGAGAUCGGAGAGUUAAUUCAAAACAUUGAAACUUAUGAACAAUGCAAGUAUGAAAUAUGGCCGAAAAAUAUGUGUGUUCAAAUAUCUAAAAAAGUGACAAAACUAUGUGUGUUCAAAUAUCUUCCUUGUGAGAUAUGACUUCUAGAAGAAUGUGUCUUCAAUCAGUCAAACUUGGACUUGGACAUGCUUUGAAGAAUGUUGCUCUUGGUAUAUGCAUCUUUGUUGCAUACUAAGAUAUAUUAUACAUGGUGUUAGCAAGCUCAUGUUUUUUUUAAUAAUUUAUAUCUUAUCUUGGAUGCCUUCAUGAAAAAGAAUUCACCAAGCUUGUGUUGCAUGAGUGUAAAACUACUACAAAUAUGAUUGAGCAGUUUGCUACUUUGGCUGCCAUAGCCCAGAACCCUGGUAAAAUCCGUGAUGAUGAUGUUCUUGCUGACUUUUGUGGCAAGCUGCUGCAUCAUUUCUAGGUAAAUUUUCAUAUCCGUGACUUUGUUUUUGGAAUUAUUCUUUUGAUGUUAAACAUGUCUCCAUAUUGAUUCUUUGUCAAUGUAUCCUAUGUUAUAAACUUUACGUCAUAUGUUGAUGGUGAGGCUGGAUUUAAUUAAUGAUGCCAUUUGAUAACAAUUUCCAGCAUGCUUCUUUCUAAUACCUACUCUAGCUUUGCUUAAUGUUUUUUGUUUUGGCAUUCCUAAUAAUGUUGAGAAUGUUCAAAAACACAUAAGCAACCUAACAUUUGAUUUGUGCAAUUUAGUGCUAUGUUAAAUUUGUUCAAUUACUUAGUUGUAACUUAAUUUCGAUUGAUUGAAAUCAAAGCUGAUGAAAAAGUAUUUAUGAUGUGUUUGAUUAAAUUAUUAGAUUCCUCUUGAAAAAUAAGUUGUGUUUCAAUCACUCAAACUUGGACUUGGACAUGCUCUGAAGAAUGUUGCUCUUGGUAUAUACAUCUUUGUUGCAUACUGAGAUAUAGUAUGCAUGGUGGUAGCAAGCUCAUGUUUUUUUUUUUAAAUUUAUAUCUUAUCUUGGAUGCCUUCAUGAACAAGAAUUCACCAAGCUUGUGCUGCACGAGUAUAAAACUACUACAAAUAUGAGUGAACAGUUUUCUCCUUUGGUUGCCAUAGCCCAGAACCCUGGUAAAAUCCGUGAUGAUGCUCUUGUUGACUUUUGUGGCAAGCUGUUGCAUCAUUUCUUGGUAAAUUGCCAUAUCUUUGACUUUGUUUUUGGAAUUAUUCUUUUGAUGUUAGGCAUGUCUCCAUAUCAUUUUGAAGUACAAGUGUGGCUGCUUCUUUAGGAAGAAGUCAUGCAACGAGAAGUGAUAUUUUUGUUUCUAUACUUUAUUUUUGUUACCAAUGUAGCUAUUUCUUUUCAUUUUUUGAAUGAUCGCUAUAUUAAAAUUCUUUUCAUGAGUGUUGUAUUCAAAAUUGUUGGGUGUUUAUACACCGAUUUACUUUUCUUGUCAGCAACACCUACCCAAAUCUAAUGGACCAAUACAAUAAUGAGGAGUAUUUACAAUGUAGAGCUAUUUUGGCUUCUACAAUUGAUACUGUUGAUAAGAUAAAUGAUUUUGUUCUAUCAUUAGUGCCAGGUACAAACUUAUUUAUUAUAGUUUAUGAAUAAUUCAAUUAGAAAUAAGUGAUGCAAACAUAAAACAUUAUGCAUUAAUCAGUCCAUUUUUCUAAUAAAUAUAGGAGGUGAAAAAGAAUAUUUAAGUUUAGAUAUGGUAGACAAAUCAGAUGCAGCAAACAACCAAGCAUGAGAAACACUUACUCCUAAAUUUCUAAACUCUCUUAGGACAUCUGGACUUCCUAAUCAUAAAAUUAAACUUUAAGUAGGAACUCUGAUCAUACUUUUAAGAAAUAUAGAUCAAUUUGAAGGUUUGUGUAAUGGUCAAGACUAAUUGUGACAAGAUUAGCAAACCAUAUCAUCCAAGCAAAAAUCAUUGAUGGAAACAAAAAUGGAAAUAUGAUAUAUAUUCCUAGAAUGUGUAUGUCUCCAUCACAGUCACCAUGGACUUUUAAACUGAUUAGGAGACAAUUUUCUAUCAUGCUAUCAUAUGUCACGACAAUAAACAAAUCUCAGGGUCAAUCACUAGAAUGUGUUGGACUUUACUUGCCUAGACCAGUUUUUAGCCAUGGUCAACUAUAUGUAGCAGCCCCGAGAGUUAAGAGUAAACAAGGAUUAAAGAUCUUGAUACAUGAUAAAGAAGAAAGACCAUUGAAUACUACAACAAAUAUAGUCUUCAAAGAAGUGUUCCAUAAUCUUUAAUUGGUAAAAUUUUGAUUAUAUCACACAUGAAAAGCAUUUAUGUUAUGACUUCCCACUUUUAGUAGUUCAAACUAAUAUUGAGGUGUACAUACUUUGACUUAAGUAUUAUUUCAAUUCUCAAGUUCUACUUUCAGGACUGUGAUGGAUGAUUUUGGAGAUGUUUUGUCCAAUUCAUCAGUUUCACACUUUUCUGGAAAUGUUAGGAAAUCAAAACAUGAGUCUACCAAUGAUUAAUUUUUUGGGUUACAUUUUCAUAAUAGAACAACUGUUGAUGUUCAAUCCAAAACCAAUUGUAACCCUCCACAAGAAAAACAAAUUCUAUCACAAAGGGCAACACUGUAGAAGCAUAUAUGAUAUGAAAUUUUGAUGAUGCCAAAGAUAAGUGCUUUUCAA